UACGUAGGGUGCAAGCGUUAUCCGGAAUUAUUGGGCGUAAAGAGCUCGUAGGCGGUUUGUCACGUCGGCCGUGAAAACCUGCAGCUUAACUGUGGGCGUGCGGUCGAUACGGGCAUCACUGGAGUUCGGCAGGGGAGACUGGAAUUCCUGGUGUAGCGGUGGAAUGCGCAGAUAUCAGGAGGAACACCGGUGGCGAAGGCGGGGUCUCUGGGGCAUUAACUGACGCUGAGGAGCGAAAGCAUGGGGAGCGAACAGG
rnacentral:rRNA from 1 species